GACGGGGGAUGCAAGUGUUAUCCGGAAUCACUGGGCGUAAAGCGUCUGCAGGUGGUUUCCUAAGUCCACUGUUAAACCUUGAGGCUCAACCUCAAAUCUGCAUUGGAAACUAGGAGACUUGAGUAUAGUAGGGGUAGAGGGAAUUUCCAGUGGAGCGGUGAAAUGCGUAGAUAUUGAAAAGAACACCGAUGGCGAAGGCACUCUACUGGGCUAUUACUGACACUCAGAGACGAAAGCUAGGGGAGCAAAUGGG
rnacentral:rRNA from 1 species